rnacentral:rRNA from 1 species
GACGAACGCUGGCGGCGUGCUUAACACAUGCAAGUCGAGCGGUAAGGCCCUUUCGGGGGUACACGAGCGGCGAACGGGUGAGUAACACGUGGGUGACCUGCCCUCAGCUCUGGGAUAAGCCUGGGAAACCGGGUCUAAUACUGGAUAUGACUCCAUGACGCAUGUUGUGGGGUGGAAAGCCCUGUGCGGCUGAGGAUGGGCCCGCGGCCUAUCAGCUUGUUGGGUGGGGAGGU